rnacentral:rRNA from 1 species
UACAGAGGUCUCAAGCGUUGUUCGGAUUCAUUGGGCGUAAGGGUGCGUAGGCGGCGCGGUAAGUCGGGGUGUGAAAUCUCGGGGCUUAACUCCGAAACUGCAUUCGAUACUGCCGUGCUUGAGGACUGGAGAGGAGACUGGAAUUCAUGGUGUAGCAGUGAAAUGCGUAGAGAUCAUGAGGAAGACCAGUGGCGAAGGCGGGUCUCUGGACAGUUCCUGACACUGAGGCACGAAGGCCAGGGGAGCAAACGGG